UACGUAGGGACCGAGCGUUGUCCGGAAUUAUUGGGCGUAAAGAGCUCGUAGGCGGCCUGUUGCGUCCGCUGUGAAAGCCCGGGGCUUAACCCCGGGUCGGCAGUGGAUACGGGCAGGCUAGAGGUAGGUAGGGGAGAAUGGAAUUCCCGGUGUAGCGGUGAAAUGCGCAGAUAUCGGGAGGAACACCGGUGGCGAAGGCGGGUCUCUGGGCCGUUACUGACGCUGAGGAGCGAAAGCGUGGGGAGCGAACAGG
rnacentral:rRNA from 1 species